UCUGUCCAUUCCUGCUCAAAAUGAAUUAAGACAAAUAAAAACUGUUGUAAGAGGUCCAAGAAGAUGAGUUUCCUUUUGAAAGAAUUGGAUAUUAGAUGGUCCUAAAAGAUAGGAUUUGGUUAAUUGGAAGAAAGAGAAAGAGGAAUCCUUUAUGGAGAGCUUUGGAAUUCCUUGGGCAAAGGCUUGAAGUGGGAGUGUCUUGGUGAAUUACAGGAAUAGUGCAUGGCUUGACAGAAAUAGUCCAUAAAUGCUAGUUUAAGAACUUUGGACUUUCCUGGAAUAAGCAGGGAACCCUUGAACAAUUUAGAAGAGGCAGUAUAGUAUAGUGAAAAGAACUCUUCAGAGUGAAACCAAUUUUCUGUGUGACCUUUGACAAGUCAUUUAACCAUUAUUUACUGAAUAGGUAGGGCCAGAUGAAUUUUGAGGGUUAUGUAGUUGUGCCAUUGCCUUGGCAUCUCAAUUUUUUACUCUCCAGAAACUAAUAGCAUGAGUUGUCAGACUGUUUAUAAUCUGCUUCCUCUUGUCUUUCCCUUCUACCUCUCCUACCCAUUGCUCCCUUUGAUAUAUCCCAUUUGACCAUUAAAUAAAGGAAAAAAUUCUACUUAAUCUUAUUGGAAUUGUCACCAAUAAAUAGCUCUUGGUAUUAUAAGGUGGAAAAAGAGGGAAAGGAGAAGAGUAGAACCCUGAGCCUCGAUAUUAAUCUUGAUUUUAUGGGCUCUCCCUAUAUCUUCUUUCCAGGAGGAGAGUCUCCUGAAUUCCAGAGGGCAUCCCAGCAUCAUUUCUGAAUCAACUGAUGGCAGUUUCUGCAUCCAGGGCCAAAGACAGAUUGGAUGUGGUUUCAUGACCCUUCAGAAGGCCAGCAGAAAAGAUACCUGAUAUUUAGGGAUAUCAUCAUAUCUCUAGUGGAAGGAUUCCCAGGAGGACAAACUCCCAAGACCCCAGAUCAUUUGAUAAAAGGAGCAAGGCACCAAGUAAAUCUAUAUCCCACAAAAUGACUUUUAAAGAAGUUUCUGAAAAAGAAUUUUUAAAAGUUUUGAGCAAUGCCAGUUUCUUUGGAGUAAGGAUAUUGCCACAGAAGCACUUUGUUGAAAGAAUAAAAAUAUGAAUGCAUGCUUAUCUGUACUAAUGAAUGAGCACAUGAAUAGUGUUUUAUGAUAAUCUGUUUGAAUGCUAUAAUUAUUUAAACCAUAAACUACAACAACCUUGUAUAAAAAUAGUCAGGUGUGUGUGUGUGUGUGUGUGUGUGUGUGUGUGUGUGUGGUGUGUGUGUGUGUGUGGUUGUGUGUGUUUUUGAGUAUAAACACACAUAAUUUUGAAAGGGGU
rnacentral:lncRNA from 1 species